AGUGAACGCUGGCGGUAGGCCUAACACAUGCAAGUCGAACGGCAGCACAGUAAGAGUUUGCUCUUACGGGUGGCGAGUGGCGGACGGGUGAGGAAUACAUCGGAUUCUUCUUUUUCGUGGGGGAUAACGUAGGGAAACUUACGCUAAUACCGCAUACGUCCUACGGGUGAAAGCAGGGGAUCUUCGGACCUUGCGCGAUUGAAUGAGCCGAUGUCGGAUUAGCUAGUUGGCGGGGUAAAGGCCCACCAAGGCGACGAUCCGUAGCUGGUCUGAGAGGAUGAUCAGCCACACUGGAACUGAGACACGGUCCAGACUCCUACGGGAGGCAGCAGUGGGGAAUAUUGGACAAUGGGCGCAAGCCUGAUCCAGCCAUACCGCGUGAGUGAAGAAGGCCUUCGGGUUGUAAAGCCCUUUUGUUGGGAAAGAAAAGCAGCAGGUUAAUACCCCGCUGUUCUGACGGUACCCAAAGAAUAAGCACCGGCUAACUUCGUG
rnacentral:rRNA from 1 species